rnacentral:lncRNA from 1 species
AACCUGUGGAAGGCUAGGCAGGGAGUCAGGAAAGGCUGGAGUCACCAUGGACUGCAACCUGGAACAAGGAGAGACAAAGGGAAGGAGGAGUCUGGAGCCAUAUUGAAGAUGAAAUUGAGAUAUGGACUAGGUGGUGGAUCGUUUUUAUAAGAGGACAUAAAAGAGGAUGCUAAAGCUAAUUGCCACAAUCAGAACUCAAAGACCUAGCAAAUGCAAGGUGGUAUUUAUUCUAAACUCAGCAAAGUAGUAGAAAAAUAGUUUUGAGAACAGUUUUAAGGAGACUAGGGUAACAGUGAGAAAAUAGUUCAUGGCUAGUCUGGACUUAGGACUUUAGGGUCGGCCUGGUGAAUUGAAGGGAAGCAGCUGAUACACUCUGGUUGCCUUGUACCCUGGCUUUUGGUGCUUUCCCAUGUGCUGUAGUCAUCAGUAAUCUGGAGGAAAUGCUAUAGAGGCAAAGACACCAUUAGAUGGGUGCUCAACUAGCAAACAGGAUGUGACCACAGAGUAGUUACCCCAAGACCAGGUCAGCAUGACCCAAAAGGCAGAAGAGGACAAGGUUUAUGAGUGUUGGGCUGAGCUCACGCCUGCUUGAACAUCUCAAGAACAAUGUUAAUGAUGGAAGAGAGAGAUAGGAGAGGAAACUCAUUAAACUUGCCAAAUAUGAGAUGUAGCUGGGUUGGCUCUAUGUAAGCAUGGCAGAAAAGCAUUUAGAAGUCAUAAUACAUUUAAAAUAAGAGCUACCAGCAUAGCAGUGACAUGAAGAAGGCAUGUGUUUUGUUAAAAAGUUUUAAAUACUCCUAUAAAAGAUAGUAAGGUACAAGUUGUUUGCUUGAUCAGCAAUGCUAAUUGCCUUUGAAGUGCAUGCCUGGGGAUUCCAUGGAGAGAGGACCCUGUUUCUCCACCCCAACCCAAAUUCACUGAGUUUAUGUCAGAAUGUUCAGAAGCCCCUUUACAAAUUCCUCUGAUUGCCUUGUUAGACACUGGCCACCUCCCUGAACCUGGGCCAAGAUGAGGGUCUACACCUUGGCUUAGUUCUACUAUGAAAGACUUUCCUGCAGUAAAAGUUACCUGUCUGAAACAUUCAGAAGAGUGAAAAUGCCACAUCUCCAAUUUCCAGCAAUAUAUUUGUCUGCCAUGAUUUGGCCUGGAAGCUUAAGCAGGAAGACCACUUGGAGCCAGACUUCAGAGUGAUCUGUCUCUAAGGAAUAACUUUCAUAUUGCAGCGUUCGGUUUUGCAAUUCUUCCUAAGCUACUCUAAAUUCGCAGCAUAAAUCUGCAGAAAGACUUCACCCUCCACAUCAAACCCUUAUAAGGAUCCAUUUCUGCUCUCAUUUUAGAAUAUCUUUUCUAAUAGCUAAAGGCAGACAGAGGCAAACCAAGAAAUCCAGACUUUGCAUCAACGGGUUAAAUCAUAUGUCAAAGGUGCAACCAUAACGUAUUACAAGCUUCUCAUCACAUAAUACAUCACUCAAGAAAAAAUAUUUGGGCAGCUUUUCUAAUUCAUCUUCCUGGUGUUAAAGGAGCACAUCUCCAGUGUUCGUGUCUUCUGUUUCAAUUAAAGCAAUCAUGCCUACUC